UACGGCUACAUCACGUGGAAACAUCGGUUCCCGCACGAUCACCGAAGUUAAGCAAACUUCCAACCUGGUCAGCACCUAGAUGGGUGACCGUUUAGGAAUACCAGGUGCUAUAA